rnacentral:rRNA from 1 species
GUCCAGACUCCUACGGGAGGCAGCAGUGGGGAAUAUUGCACAAUGGGGGGAACCCUGAUGCAGCGACGCCGCGUGGGCGAGGAAGUAUUUCGGUAUGUAAAGCCCUAUCGGCAGGGAAGAAGGAGGACGGUACCUGACUAAGAAGCCCCGGCUAGCUACGUGCCAGCAGCCGCGGUAAUACGUAGGGGGCAAGCGUUAUCCGGAUUUACUGGGUGUAAAGGGGGCGCAGACGGCAGCGCAAGCCAGGAGUGAAAGCCCGGGGCCCAACCCCGGGACUGCUCUUGGAACUGCGCGGCUGGAGUGCAGGAGGGGCAGGCGGAAUUCCUGGUGUAGCGGUGAAAUGCGUAGAUAUCAGGAGGAACACCGGUGGCGGAGGCGGCCUGCUGGACUGCAACUGACGUUGAGGCCCGAAAGCGUGGGGAGCAAACAGGAUUAGAUACCCUCGUAU